rnacentral:lncRNA from 1 species
CAGCAAAAAUGCAAUCCGUAUGUAAAAAAUGCACAAAAUUAUUUUUUACCACAUACUUUGGCAUAUAUUGGUGAAAAAAUGGGGGCAUGUUAAGGCACAAUAUGCACCUUAUAAGAUACCCUGGAGUGUCUACUUUUACAAAUGGUAGGCCUUUGUGGGGGUUUUUUGAACAGUCAAACUGUUAUAAUACCCCAAAUGGAAGCUAAGGCUCAUUAAAUCCAUCUCUCAAAAUUCUACUGUGAAUACUGAAAAGGACAGGUAUCCUGUGUGGCACUGUAACUUCACAAAAUAGUGGCAAAGACAUACAAUGGGGUUGUCGUUUUACUCAGCAGAUGUAACUGAACACAAAAUAAAACUUUGUACAGGAAUAGCACACACCAACUUUACAAAAUAUACACGAGAAUUUCUCUGUUAUAAGUUUGUGUGCCAAAAACCAAAAAGAACACAAUUUUACUCCAAUAUUUAGCAAAGGUUGGCGGUGAAAUGGCUACGUAGAAAGUGUCAAAACAACCUUAGGUAAAUAGCCCGUGAUGUCUACUUUAUAUAAAUAUAUACUUUUGUGUGGCAAUUUUGUUUUCUUUUAUGGCUAUUAAGCUUACAAGACAAACAUACCAAAUUCUAAAAUCGCU